AUGUUGCUUCCACCGGCAGUAAGCGAGGCAAGGCCGUCGCGGGACCGGGCUCUCUUCACCGUGGGCAGGCACAAAAGGGGCAGAAAGGAGAAACCGGGGGAAGUGGGUUGGCACCAAAGCCGCCCAUUAAGGAAAACCCCCUUUGAGAUCAAUUAUGCUGAGAGACGGAGUCUGAACCCAUGCCAUCCAGGGAAUUUCCUGGCUGAGGCAGAUUUCUCCCUGUUCUUCACCCAGCACCGUAACCACUCCGCCAGCGCUGGGGCUCUUAUGCAAGGCUCGCUUAGCGCUGCGUAAACGUGGAAGAGAUUUAAUGGGCGCUGAUCUUGUCUCAGCCUGCCUAGUGCCCGGCUGGGAGACGCCUUAGGAUUCAGAGAGCCAUGGGGUGACACAUCAAAUAUGACGCCUUCCACCGCACCAUCAAGUCGGUCGAGAUGGAGGAAGGCGGCACAGUCUGCCAGAACGUUCCCGAGAUCUGGUUGCAAAUGGGAGCUGCUCCUGCGGAUUCGACUCAACUUGCAGCGGACUUCCUAAAAGACUCUGCAGGAGUCAGGCCAGGGGUGGCCGGUUUAGGGGGGCAGCUUGACCGCAUAAGUACCGACUAGGCCGAGACGUGGGUCCGGAAUGACCGGUAAAGUGGCAACUGAUGUGAUUGCAGAAUGUGGCGGGUGUCCAUUCUGCGUGCCCAAAUCCACACCGUUUUUCUCGACAACGUACUUUGCGCUUUAAGAUCACACAGUGAGGGCCUUCUUGUCGCACUGUUACCCUUGGAGGUGCAAGGAGUUGCAGCCUGCGAGAGGGCCUUUUUGGUGGUGGCCCCAGACUGUGGGACAGCCCCCCAGCUGAGGUCCAUCAGGCACCAACACUACAUGGUUUUUGGUGCCUGGUUAAAAAUAUAACCUCUUCACCCAGGCCUUUGAGAGUUGGAUUCUUUAUAGUCCUGCUUAGAAGGGGUGGGUGCUUUAUUUUAUAAUGUAUUUGAGUUAUGCCUAACCCUGGGACCUUCAGGUGAAGGGCAGGAUAUAAAUACUAAAAUAAAUAAAUAGGGGGGUGGAGGGAGGCCGUCGAA
rnacentral:lncRNA from 1 species